UUUGUUUUUGAUGUGAACAAAAAUGCAAAAGAAGAAAGGACUUAGAAUUAGGACUUACCCAUGCUUAAAGGAGUUCAAGAGCAACUAGGCCUCAUGCCUUUAGAAUGCAAAAUUUGUUGAAGAGCAACUAGGCCUCAUUCCUUUAGAAUGCUAAAAUUCAAAGUUGAUCUCAAAGGACUUCUCCUCAAACUUAUUCUUUGUCCAUUCCCUUUAUUGUGUUGUGAU
rnacentral:lncRNA from 1 species